rnacentral:rRNA from 1 species
UACAGAGGGUGCAAGCGUUGUUCGGAAUUACUGGGCGUAAAGGGCUCGUAGGCGGCCAACUAAGUCAGACGUGAAAUCCCUCGGCUUAACCGGGGAACUGCGUCUGAUACUGGAUGGCUUGAGUUUGGGAGAGGGAUGCGGAAUUCCAGGUGUAGCGGUGAAAUGCGUAGAUAUCUGGAGGAACACCGGUGGCGAAGGCGGCAUCCUGGACCAACACUGACGCUGAGGAGCGAAAGCCAGGGGAGCAAACGGG